rnacentral:misc_RNA from 1 species
GAGAGGAAAUGUCAAAGUAUGGCGUUACUGGCGGCCUACAUUCUAGUUCUGCGACGGUGAACUCAAUUUACGAUCCCGUGACACUGGUCAGUGCAAACGUUUAAGCACUCUAUAAUGACUAUUUAUGAAACUGUUUGUUUGUUGAAUAAACUGUUUAAAUAGUUUAUAGACAUCUAUAUAAUAAUUUUGAAAAUAUCUUUGCAAUGUGGAAAGGU